GGGACGGGGGCGGUGCUG
rnacentral:miRNA from 1 species